rnacentral:rRNA from 1 species
GACGAACGCUGGCGGCGUGCUUAACACAUGCAAGUCGAACGGAAAGGCCCUGCUUGCAGGGUACUCGAGUGGCGAACGGGCGAGUAACACGUGGGUGAUCUGCCCUGCACUUCGGGAUAAGCCUGGGAAACUGGGUCUAAUACCUGAUAGGAGCCAUUUUUAGUGUGAUGGUUGGAAAGUUUUUUCGGUUUAGGAUGAGCUCGCGGCCUAUCAGCUUGUUGGGGGGGUAAUGGCCUACCAAGGCGGCGACGGGUAGCCGGCCUGAGAGGGUGGACGGCCACAUUGGGACUGAGAGACGGCCCAGACUCGUACGGGAGGCAGCAGUGGGGAAGACUGAACAAUCGGCGCAAGGCUGAUGCAGAGAGGCCGCGUGGGGGAUGACGGCCUUAGGGUUGUAAAAUCAUUUCGCUAGGGACGAAGCUUUUUGUGACGGUACCUAGAUAAGAAGCACCGGCUAACUACGUG